GAUGAACGCUGGCGGCGUGCCUAACACAUGCAAGUCGAGCGAACGGACGAGAAGCUUGCUUUUCUGAUGUUAGCGGCGGACGGGUGAGUAACACGUGGAUAACCUACUUAUAAGACUGGGAUAAUUUCGGGAAACCGGAGCUACUACUGGAUAAUAUUUUGAACCGCAUGGAUCAAAAGUGAAAGACGGUUUUGCUGUCACUUAUAGAUGGAUCCGCGCUGCAUUAGCUAGUUGGUAAGGUAACGGCUUACCAAGGCAACGAUGCAUAGCCGACCUGAGAGGGUGAUCGGCCACACUGGAACUGAGACACGGUCCAGACUCCUACGGGAGGCAGCAGUAGGGAAUCUUGCGCAAUGGGCGAAAGCCUGACGGAGCAACGCCGCGUGAGUGAUGAAGGUCUUCGGAUCGUAAAACUCUGUUAUUAGGAAAGAACAUAUGUGUAAGUAACUGUGCACGUCUUGACGGUACCUAAACAGAAAGCCACGGCUAACUACGUG
rnacentral:rRNA from 1 species